AUGGAAGAGUGGUUGAAAAUCACACUGUGUGUAAGUUUGUUUGCAACUUUUCGGGACUUUCGACCAGUGGAUUCGUUUUAUACAUCAUAUUUAACCAGUCCAGCCGUAAAUUUUACUGCUGAACAAGUGACUGAAGAUAUUUAUCCAAUAAAUUCUUAUGCGACUACAAGUUUAGUAAUUAUUAUGUUUCUUACUACAGACUAUGUGCUUUACAAACCAAUUGUGAUGUUGGACGCGUUUAGUUCGAUUGUGAUGUUUUUAUUAGUUUUGGAACCUGUUACACUCUUUAAAUCAAAACUGAGUAUGGCAUGUUUGGGUUUAACGUCUGCAUCAGAACUGGCAUACAUGUCUUAUGCAUAUGCAAAGGUUCGUGACCGUAGGUUAUACCAAAAGAUGACAGGAAUCGUUAGAGGUUCAAAUCUUAUGGGUAAAUGUUUAUCGUCCACAUUUGCUCAAAUUGCUGUUUCAUUUUUACACAUUGAGUAUGGAUUACUUGUGUAUAUUUCAUUAGCGGGUUCAUGUGUAGCAUUUUUUGUUACAUUUUUUUUUCCGCCAGUAAAUUCAAGUAUUUAUUUCCACCCCGAAAGUCCAAUUGAUAGAAAAUCAAAAGUCAACUACAAUACAUUCCAUAAUAAAUAUCACAAAGAGCUUGGACCGUGUUUCGUUGAAAAAUCUCCAAAGCCCGUCCGAGUAGUAUUGGAUCAGUUGUACUCAGAAUUAAGCGACGCGUACACCAAUCCGUAUUUACUCAAAUACGGAGUGUGGUUUGCUUUUGCCACCGGAGUCUAUUUCCAGGUGUUGACGUAUAAUGACGUUCUUUAUUUGGAAUUGAAUGAACGCAAUCCAGUUGACAACAAGUUGUACAACGGCGGAGUCGACGCUUUGGCUUUUAUAAGUGGAGCAUUGUCUUCAUACUGCAUAGGAUUUCUGAAAGUUGAUUGGAAAUCCACAAGUAAUUUAUUCCUUUUCAUCGGUUCACUUUUGAGCUGCAUAACGCUGUGUGUCUGUUACGUGACUAAUUCUUUAGAUUUGGUGUACAUAAUGUACAUAAUAUUCUGUUUCGUAUUUCAAUCAAUGAAUGUUGUGGCCAGGUCCGAAACAGCUAAACAUUUAAAGCAUGACAGUUUUGCUUUUAUUUUUGGUGUCGUAUUUUUUAUUUCAUUAUUGGUGUCGAGUGUCAUAACAUAUUUAUUUGUUCAAGGUACUAUUAUUUCAAUUCCAGUAGACGUACAGUUUCUAUUGUAUGGAUUGAUUAACGGCGGACUUGCUCUUUGGUUCUUUUUUCAAAUGUGCAUAGAAAAAUGUAGUUACCGCAUCAUUUGAUACUUAAACAGUUGAAUGGAUGUAAUAUUUAAUUAUUUAUACCACAGAUUAUACUUAGAUCUUAGUGACAACAAUCACAUACGACUAUAACAUAAUAUAUUCUGACCUACAUCCUCAUCUCCCAGCCUCUACAUCCUAGUCCUAAACCGACACCGAAUCGCCGUCGCCGAACUCACCACCAGUCCCUUCAUCGUCUAAACAAAAGAACAGUUCAUAAGAAUAACCGAUUAUUGUUAAAGAUGCA
rnacentral:misc_RNA from 1 species